GAGUUGCAAAACUCCCAACCCUUUGUGAACAUACCUAAGUUGCUUCGGCAGGCAGGCCCAGGGCGGGCCUGCAGCCUAUUUUCAGGUGCCUGCCGGAGGUUUUUAACUCUGUAUUUUAGUGAUUUCUGAGUAAUAAACUUAAUAAGUCAAAACUUUCAGCAACGGAUCUCUUGGUUCU
rnacentral:misc_RNA from 1 species